GUAAUCAAUCUCAUGGGUAAUCCUAAGUUAUAACCGUUCCGUCCCAAAAGUCUUCAAUCAGGAUCAUAUUAGUCGACAAGUUUGAACUGUCGUUUGACGAAGCCAUGCUUUGGCGCUCGUUCGACCCGCCGUCACGGACAGUACUGCAGACGACAGUCCGUACCUCAGUCGACUUCCUGUUCAGUCGUCUGGAGAAACUGCACGGCCGGAUAUUGGUGUGUCGCGCCUUGGGAUAUUUUACCUUAGCCAAUAACGAAAUCACCGAGGUGGAGCUUGAUGACGUGUUGUGAUGCGAUGAUGACGUAUUAAAUGACGUCUACACGUACUGGACACCGCCCAUGCGCAGACUGCCCCCUCUACUUCUCGUGUGCAUACGGGCGGACAUCGACCAAUAUGUCGGUACUGAACUUUACUGUUAUUUUCUCGUUUGAAUUUAAUGUUUUACGAACGUCGAGCUGAUGAGAAGACAAUGAUGUUAUAUGUACUAUGGCGAUUUAUAUUGGGAUUUCCAAUUCAUUAUCAACAUCGCAUAUUAUUAACAUUAAGAUAAAGCGGUUAUCGCAACGCGGUUGAACGUCUGCCUUAAGGACUUGUGAUCAUAUAGGUUCGCUACCACUUGAUGCUUUCUGAUUAGUUUUCAGCUGAGAAACAAUUAGUUCAACUUUCUUUACGUGACUUGCUUAUGACUUAAGCAUCAGCGGAAGAGGUUCAUUAGCUACAUUCUGCAUGU